GCAAUAAAACUACUUAUCGGGAUGUGAGUAAGAGAUGAUGCCCAAACUUUUUAGUUUGAUCGAGAUUAGGUGCGGCUGCUUUAGCUUGAUCCCAUAUGAAAAUGGACUUAAUUUUAAUUAAUUUUGCACAGAUAUGAUCGAGAUUUAUUGUUUUUGUCAAAUUUCGAGGCAACAGAAUUAGAUCUCAGUGAAUUGGGGCACAGGAAAAGUAAAUGCUUUACAAUAAUUAGCACAUGUGCUGCCUCAGCAUGUACAUUAAAAAAAAAUAGUCCUGCUACUUGGAUUCAGUGGAAUGAGCUGGUUCAAAGUGAUGAAUUUUGAAGAAAAUGAUUUUGACACGCUAUUUUUCAUUUGAGCAUUACUAUUUUAAUCUGUUUGUGCCAUUCAAAAUGCAGGCUCUUAUAUCAUCAUGGAAAAAG
rnacentral:misc_RNA from 1 species